rnacentral:rRNA from 1 species
UACGAAGGGGGCUAGCGUUGCUCGGAAUCACUGGGCGUAAAGCGCACGUAGGCGGAUUUCUAAGUCAGGGGUGAAAUCCUGGAGCUCAACUCCAGAACUGCCUUUGAUACUGGGGAUCUCGAGUCCGGGAGAGGUGAGUGGAACUGCGAGUGUAGAGGUGAAAUUCGUAGAUAUUCGCAAGAACACCAGUGGCGAAGGCGGCUCACUGGCACGGUACUGACGCUGAGGUGCGAAAGCGUGGGGAGCAAACAGG